rnacentral:rRNA from 1 species
AUGCAAGUCGAGCGGAAACGAGUUAUCUGAACCUUCGGGGAACGAUAACGGCGUCGAGCGGCGGACGGGUGAGUAAUGCCUAGGAAAUUGCCCUGAUGUGGGGGAUAACCAUUGGAAACGAUGGCUAAUACCGCAUAAUGCCUACGGGCCAAAGAGGGGGACCUUCGGGCCUCUCGCGUCAGGAUAUGCCUAGGUGGGAUUAGCUAGUUGGUGAGGUAAUGGCUCACCAAGGCGACGAUCCCUAGCUGGUCUGAGAGGAUGAUCAGCCACACUGGAACUGAGACACGGUCCAGACUCCUACGGGAGGCAGCAGUGGGGAAUAUUGCACAAUGGGCGCAAGCCUGAUGCAGCCAUGCCGCGUGUGUGAAGAAGGCCUUCGGGUUGUAAAGCACUUUCAGUCGUGAGGAAGGUGGUGUAGUUAAUAGCUGCAUUAUUUGACGUUAGCGACAGAAGAAGCACCGGCUAACUCCGUGCCAGCAGCCGCGGUAAUACGGAGGGUGCGAGCGUUAAUCGGAAUUACUGGGCGUAAAGCGCAUGCAGGUGGUUUGUUAAGUCAGAUGUGAAAGCCCGGGGCUCAACCUCGGAAUAGCAUUUGAAACUGGCAGACUAGAGUACUGUAGAGGGGGGUAGAAUUUCAGGUGUAGCGGUGAAAUGCGUAGAGAUCUGAAGGAAUACCGGUGGCGAAGGCGGCCCCCUGGACAGAUACUGACACUCAGAUGCGAAAGCGUGGGGAGCAAACAGGAUUAGAUACCCUGGUAGUCCACGCCGUAAACGAUGUCUACUUGGAGGUUGUGGCCUUGAGCCGUGGCUUUCGGAGCUAACGCGUUAAGUAGACCGCCUGGGGAGUACGGUCGCAAGAUUAAAACUCAAAUGAAUUGACGGGGGCCCGCACAAGCGGUGGAGCAUGUGGUUUAAUUCGAUGCAACGCGAAGAACCUUACCUACUCUUGACAUCCAGAGAACUUUCCAGAGAUGGAUUGGUGCCUUCGGGAACUCUGAGACAGGUGCUGCAUGGCUGUCGUCAGCUCGUGUUGUGAAAUGUUGGGUUAAGUCCCGCAACGAGCGCAACCCUUAUCCUUGUUUGCCAGCGAGUAAUGUCGGGAACUCCAGGGAGACUGCCGGUGAUAAACCGGAGGAAGGUGGGGACGACGUCAAGUCAUCAUGGCCCUUACGAGUAGGGCUACACACGUGCUACAAUGGCGCAUACAGAGGGCAGCAAGCUAGCGAUAGUGAGCGAAUCCCAAAAAGUGCGUCGUAGUCCGGAUUGGAGUCUGCAACUCGACUCCAUGAAGUCGGAAUCGCUAGUAAUCGUGGAUCAGAAUGCCACGGUGAAUACGUUCCCGGGCCUUGUACACACCGCCCGUCACACCAUGGGAGUGGGCUGCAAAAGAAGUAGGUAGUUUAACCUUCGGGAGGACGCUUACCACUUUGUGGUUCAUGACUGGGGU